rnacentral:rRNA from 1 species
UACGAAGGGUGCAAGCGUUACUCGGAAUUACUGGGCGUAAAGCGUGCGUAGGUGGUUUGUUAAGUCUGAUGUGAAAGCCCUGGGCUCAACCUGGGAACGGCAUUGGAAACUGGCUUACUAGAGUGCGGUAGAGGGGUGUGGAAUUCCCGGUGUAGCAGUGAAAUGCGUAGAUAUCGGGAGGAACAUCUGUGGCGAAGGCGGCUACCUGGACCAGCACUGACACUGAAGCACGAAAGCGUGGGGAGCAAACAGG